rnacentral:sRNA from 1 species
UGAACAUACAAGCUAUCGAAGAUGGACGC